rnacentral:rRNA from 1 species
CCUACGGGAGGCAGCAGUAGGGAAUAUUGCUCAAUGGGGGAAACCCUGAAGCAGCAACGCCGCGUGGAGGAUGAAGGUUUUCGGACUGUAAACUCCUUUUGUUAGAGAAGAUAAUGACGGUAUCUAACGAAUAAGCACCGGCGAACUCCGUGCCAGCAGCCGCGGUAAUACGGAGGGUGCAAGCGUUACUCGGAAUUACUGGGCGUAAGGAGCGCGUAGGCGGGAUAGCAAGUCAGAUGUGAAAGCCUAUGGCUUAACCAGAGAACUGCAUUUGAAACUGUUAUUCUAGAGUAUGGGAGAGGUAGGUGGAAUUCUUGGUGUAGGGGUAAAAUCCGUAGAGAUCAAGAGGAAUACUCAUUGCGAAGGCGACCUGCUAGAACAUGACUGACGCUGAUGCGCGAAAGCGUGGGGAGCAAACAGGAUUAGAUACCCUUGUAGUC